rnacentral:rRNA from 1 species
CAGUCGCCGCGGUAAUACGAAGGGGGCUAGCGUUGUUCGGAAUUACUGGGCGUAAAGCGCACGUAGGCGGAUAUUUAAGUCAGGGGUGAAAUCCCAGAGCUCAACUCUGGAACUGCCUCUGAUACUGGGUAUCUUGAGUAUGGAAGAGGUGAGUGGAAUUCCGAGUGUAGAGGUGAAAUUCGUAGAUAUUCGGAGGAACACCAGUGGCGAAGGCGGCUCACUGGUCCAUUACUGACGCUGAGGUGCGAAAGCGUGGGGAGCAAACAGGAUUAGAUACCCCUGUAGUCCCUGUCUCUUAUAC